rnacentral:rRNA from 1 species
UACGUAGGGGGCUAGCGUUGUCCGGAUUAUUGGGCGUAAAGAGCGUGUAGGCGGCCAGGUAGGUCUGCUGUGAAAACUCGAGGCUCAACCUCGAGAUGUCGGCGGAAACCAUCUGGCUAGAGUCCGGAAGAGGAAAGUGGAAUUCCUGGUGUGAGAGCGGUGAAAUGCGCAGAUAUCAGGAAGAACACCCGUGGCGAAGGCGGCUUUCUGGGACGGUACUGACGCUGGAGACGCGAAAGC